GCUCCAGUGGUGCAAUCGGUUAGCGCCUGGUAAUUAUAAGACAACACACAGCAGAGCAACGCUAAAGUUGUGAGUUCAAGCCUCACCUGGUGCU
rnacentral:tRNA from 1 species